UACGUAGGGGGCUAGCGUUGUCCGGAUUUAUUGGGCGUAAAGAGCGUGUAGGCGGCCAUGUAGGUCCGGUGUGAAAACUCGAGGCUUAACCUCGAGAUGUCAUCGGAAACCAUCUGGCUAGAGUCCGGAAGAGGAGAGUGGAAUUCCUGGUGUAGCGGUGAAAUGCGCAGAUAUCAGGAAGAACACCAAUGGCGAAGGCAGCUCUCUGGGACGGUACUGACGCUGAGACGCGAAAGCGUGGGGAGCGAACAGG
rnacentral:rRNA from 1 species